GGUUGAUGAGAGUUUUCUAAUUCAUUAGAAAGUGGCGUGUGUCUCUUUAGAGGUUGCUGCAGGAUCAGGCUCUCUCCAAAAAACAUCUCUUCAUCAAAACUGAUCAAUGAAUUGUUGCUUCCAUUUGUAGUGGGAACUAUAAGCUCUCCACUUGGAAUGGUUGCAGAUUUGGGCAAAGUUGGGUACAUGCUGAUCUGAUUGAAUUUGAGACGACUGCAAAUAAGCUAGAAGUAAAGCUAAGAAAUCUAGUCUGGCAUUGAUUAAAUUCUGCUUCAAGGUGAAGCGGCGGGUAUAGGCUGACCUCCUUGAGGAAGUAAAAGUUGGUUUUCUUUGUUUCUAAGUAUGGAAUUGGUGCUGUGAGUACUGCUUCUUGGAGUGUGCAUAUGUUGUAGAUUCAUGCGAGCAAGUUGGUGCUGUAAAUAUCAAAUGAACCCCACCUAGAUUUGUCCACUAAUAGAUUUUUCCUAUUUCAAAGUUGGAAGGUUACCAGCAAACAUACGGUGAUAUACCUUGAGAGUGGUGAGACUCUUAUGAUGGUUAGAGCAAGCAAUGGGCGUGAUUGCCUUGCCAUACACCAAUUAAUAUUCUGCUCCUUUUUCCUCCAACAACCUUAGUACCAAAAUAAGAUAUGAUAUACAUGAAUGUUGUCUAGUUGGGUGGUUGAUCAAGAGUUUAAAGCAGAUGUAGCCAUAGGCAAAUGGCAGGAUACUAGUGCUUCCCUGAUUGAGGCUCCAAAUAUCAUGGGGCCGAUAUCCAAGGCUUAAUUGAGUUCCAGAGACUGAUUUAUAUGCAUGUAUUUUCUAUCAUCUAAGAAUAUAAGCCUGUAUCUCUCUUUUCCUUGCUUUUGUAAUGCAGACUCUCGCAGGAAGGAAGUAGUAAAAAUAUAACUAUUUCAUCAGAGCAGGUGUUGUAUGCUGAGGUUGUUUAAAAAAUAGCAGUGGUUGUAAUGCCUAGCAAAAUCAAUAGAUAUUCAAAUAUUAAUUAGCUUAUUUUGUAGUGUCAUGAUACUGAUCCUACCUCAAGAGAGUUUAUGAGGUAGCUUAUGAGGUAGAUAUUCAAAUAUUAGUUAGCUUAUUUUGUAGCAUCCUGAUACAAUUUGCUUCUGCUCUAUCUCGAGGUGCACUAGCGGAAGCAAAUUUCACUUGUGUGUUCUUUUAGAGUGGUUUAGUUGAAUUCUGAAACUGAGUUGUAAAUAUUUGUAAUAUGAUGCUAAGAAUAAG